rnacentral:tRNA from 1 species
AAAAAACCAUAUGCCCUCCUUAAUUAUUUAUCCCCUCCUUUUAUCCUUUUUUGUUAGCGGCUCAAAAUUCGUUAUCUUUCU